AGAGUUUGAUCCUGGCUCAGGACGAACGCUGGCGGCGCGCUUAACACAUGCAAGUCGAGCGAUGAAACUUUAACAGAACCCUUCGGGGCGAAGAUAAAGUGGAUUAGCGGCGGACGGGUGAGUAACACGUGAGUAACCUGCCUUAGACAUUGGGAUAGCCUCGGGAAACCGGGAUUAAUACCAAAUAAAAUCAUAAUGACACAUGCCAUAACGAUCAGAACUCCGGUGGUCUAAGAUGGACUCGCGUCCCAUUAGCUAGUUGGUAGAGUAAAAGCCUACCAAGGCGACGAUGGGUAGCCGGCCUGAGAGGGUGAACGGCCACAUUGGAACUGAGAAACGGUCCAAACUCCUACGGGAGGCAGCAGUGGGGAAUAUUGCACAAUGGAGGGAACUCUGAUGCAGCGACGCCGCGUGAACGAAGAAGGCUUUCGAGUCGUAAAGUUCUUUUAUAUGGGAAGAUAAUGACGGUACCAUAAGAAAAAGCCCCGGCUAACUACGUGCCAGCAGCCGCGGUAAUACGUAGGGGGCUAGCGUUGUCCGGAAUCACUGGGCGUAAAGGGUUCGCAGGCGGAAAUGCAAGUCAGAUGUAAAAGGCAGUAGCUUAACUACUGUAAGCAUUUGAAACUGCAUAUCUUGAGAAGAGUAGAGGUAAGUGGAAUUUUUAGUGUAGCGGUGAAAUGCGUAGAUAUUAAAAAGAAUACCGGUGGCGAAGGCGACUUACUGGGCUCAUUCUGACGCUGAGGAACGAAAGCGUGGGUAGCAAACAGGAUUAGAUACCCUGGUAGUCCACGCUGUAAACGAUGAGUGCUAGUGUCGGCGAAUGUCGGUGCCGCAGUUAACACAAUAAGCACUCCGCCUGGGGAGUACGUGCGCAAGCAUGAAACUC
rnacentral:rRNA from 1 species